rnacentral:lncRNA from 10 species
CAACAUAUGGCCAAAAGACCUCCCUACACAAUAUCAUUAGAAUCUUAAAAUACUUAAGAAACGUAAAAAGUGUACUGAAUCCAUAGUAACCAAACAUCGCUGAUGUUUUCACAUUCCGUGUUCUCAUAAAGAUUCAACAUUAUAAACAUGAUCAGUUCUCCCCUGAAUCUAAAUAUUUAGAACAAUAAAAAUACCAGCCUAUAAUUAACUAUAUAAAAUUCUAAAUUUCACAUUAUGAUAAGCCAGAAAAAGAAAAUAAGAACAUACAAACAUUUGCUUCUCAUUACAAAGAGAGACACAGCAGAGACACACUAGAAGAGCAGGAAGGCAGCCCGGGAAAGGCCGAGACAUGGCUUAGGAGGUUCAGGAAGACAAGACUGCAAUGCCUCAGACAAUCCUCAAUUUUUACAAAGAGCUUCUAUAAACCCACCCAGAGUCCCUCAGAAAGCCAAAUGCUCGGACUGGGUAACAGCACCAGCCACAGGCACCUGCUUUCUUCCAAGAAGGAGCUCUCACCUGUCACUCAAAAGCACCUGCACUGAGAAGUUGGGAGAGCCAGAGAAGACUCCUGCCCUUUCUGAAUUUUACCAAUUAUCUAUUCAAAUGUAUUUACUCAUAAGUGGGUACUCAAAUGGAAAUGAAAUGUAACUCAUAUGGAAAAUUCAUCCCUAACCUGUAUUCAACAGGAAAAGUAAUAUAUUCUGAAUGGUAUCGCUUUUUUUUUUUUUUGAGACAGAGUUUCACUCUUGUUGCCCAGGCUGGAGUGCGAUGGCGCGAUCUCUGCUCACCGCAACCUCCGCCUCCCGGGUUCAAGCGAUUCUCCUGCCUCAGCCUCCCAAGUAGCUGGGAUUACAGGCAUGCGCCACCACACCCAGCUAAUUUUGUAUUUUUAGUAGACAUGGGGUUUCUCCAUGUUGGUCACACUGGUCUCGAACUCCCUACCUCAGCUGAGCUGCCCACCUCGGCCUCCCAAAGUGCUGGGAUUACAGGUGUCAGCCAUCGCACCAGGCUAUGGUAUCACUUCUUAAAAAAAAAAAAAAAAGUUGAGGGGGGUGGAGCAGAGAUGCACCAUGCAUUUGCUUGUAUAUUCAAAAAAUGUUCCUGUAAAACCACAGAAAAAAAGUAGCAUUGGUUCCCUGUGAAAAAGGCAACUAUCUGACUGGGAAUGGGGGCUGGUAAAGGAGAGGUACAUAAUUAUCACGGGUGAAGGUUGAAUGGUGAUAACGUAUUAACAAAAAAGAAUUAAACAUAAAAUAAAUAAUCUUUAUGGGGGGUGGGGGGAAGGCCAGUCAUAUUAUCAAUGCCCUUGUGGAUAAGAAAACUAACAUCCAGAGAAAUUAAGCCACUUAGUAAAAAUCACAUAAUUAAACCAGUGGCAUAGCUAGUAAUAAUUUUCAAUUAAUAAUCCAGGAUACUCUCCUAAUUAAUUUUGCUUCCACUCCUCUUAAGAUAAUGGCUUCUGAGAUAAGACACCAGUUGCUGGGCCAGGCACAGUGGCUCAUGCCUGCAAUCCCAGCACUUUGGGAGGCUGAGGCAGGCAGAUCACCUGAGGUCAAGGGUUUCAGACCAACCUGGCCAACAUGGCAAACCCCUGUCUCCACUAAAAAUAAAAAUAAAAAAUCAGCCUGGCGUGGUGGCCCGUGCCUGUAAUACUAGCUACUCAGGAGGCUGAGGCAGAAGAAUGGCUUGAACCUGGGAGGUAGAGGUUGCAGUGAGCCGAGAUCGUGCCAUUGAACUCCAGCCUGGAUGACAAGACUGAAACUCCAUCUCAGAAAAAAAAAAAAAAGAAAAAAAAAAACCCAGUUGCUACUUUGAGCCUAGUGUAAAAACGACAGACAAAUUUGGAUUUUAUCAACAACAAUGUAUACUAAUAUGUAAGCCUAAGACUGUUGAUUCAAUUAGGAGCCAAGCCAAAGUACCCAAUUAUCAAAGGCAUGAGUAGUUCCAAUGAAACAAUUAUAUUCCAAAACUUUGGUAUUUGCCAUAAUAAAUGUAUGAAAUAAACUGUGACAUGAUAAAUAUCUGUUCAGAAACUCAUUAAGUGGUCCUUAAUAGUGUCGGUUCGCUCAUAUUAUUACAGCAGACUGUUUUCCAAGAACAGAUUCACCUGGCCGGGCGCGGAGGCUCACGCCUGUAAUCCAACACUUUGGGAGGCCGAGGCAGGUGGAUCAUCUGAGGUCAGGGGUUCAAGACCAGCCUGACCAACAUGGUGAAACCUUGUCUCUACUAAAAAUACAAAAACGACGCCGGGUGCGGUGGCUCACGCCUGCAAUCCCAGCACUUUGGGAGGCCGAGGUGGGUGGAUCACGAGGUCAGGAGUUAGAGACCAGCCUGACCAACAUGGUGAAACCUUGCCUCUACUAAAAAUAUAAAACUUAGCCGGGUGUGGUGGCGCGUGCCUGUAAUCCCAGCUACUCAGGAGGCUGAGGCAGGAGAAUCGCUUGAACCCGGGAGGUGGAGGUUGCAGUGAGGUGAGAUUGCACCACUGCACUCCAGCCUGGGCAUGGUGGUGCGUGCCUGUAAUCCCAGCUACUUGGGAGGCUGAGGCAGAAGAAUCGCUUGAACCCGGGAGGUGGAGGUUGCAGUGAGCCGAGAUCACGCCACUGCACUCCAGCCUGGGCGAUAGAGCGAGACUCUAUCUCAAAAAAAAAAAAAAAAGAAAGAAAGAAAACACACACACACACACACACACACACACACACACAGGUUAUAAAGACCUUGCUGAUAAAACAGGUUGCAGUAAAGAAGAAUCACUUGAACCUGGGAGGCGGAGGUUGCAGUGAGCCAAGAUCACGUCACUGCACUCCAGCCUGAGUGACAGAGCAAGACUCCGUCUCAAAAAAAAAAAAAAAAAAAAAUUCACCUUUACCCAGGUGUUCUUUCAAUGCUAAUUUUGUCAGUAUCUGUAUGUAUUCGUUGUAUUCGUGUAAACUCUUUCUUUUCAUGCUUAAUGUUAUUAACGUCUCCCUCUUUUUCUUUUUUUUUUGAGACAGAGUUUCACUCUUGUUGCCCA